GCGCAGGUGGAGGAGGCGCCCAGGGCGGCAGGUGCUGGGGCGCUCACCUGGGGGACAGCGGUGACGAAAACGCCAGUGUUUUAGAGGCAAACGAGGGAUCUGGGAUACGACAUUGACAGGUUAGAGAGUUAGCACUAAUAACGUUAGUCAUAUUAGAGAGUUAUGUGCUAGAGAGAAGUUUGGGGCGUGGGAACUUACGGAGCUCGCCAAACGCAGACCUGCGCUGGUGUUGCCUCAGCUAAAAAUCUGUGUAU
rnacentral:lncRNA from 1 species